rnacentral:lncRNA from 1 species
UUGUGUGUGCACAGCCCCCACGCUGAAGCCUCCUUGCUCUGUGCUCAUCAUACGGAAUCUGACUGCCAAGAACCCUCUGAGCUUCAAGCACUGAGGCACCGAGGCGGGAGGCUGCCCAGGGUGGGAGUCUGCCUUUCUUAAACCCAGGCUGUUUCCCCAAGCUUCGAGCCACCUCCUCUGUGCUUACAGGCAGGUAAUAUGUUGCCCAGUGCGCGCCCCGCAGCCCUCCCUCCUGAGCCAGGAUUCCUGGUCCCCAAAGCGCUGGACAUGAACGCCCCAAAAGCCUUUCCAACACAGGAAGAAAGGGGGUCAUCUGGAACCUAGGAAGAGAGCCCUUCCCAAGGAACCAGUUGUGUCGGCAUCUUGAUCUGGGACUUCUGGCCUCCAGAACUGUGAGAAAUAAAUUUCUGUUGUUGGAGCAGCUCAGUCUGUGGUAUUCUGUCAUGGCCCAGAGCAGAGGCCUGAGGAGAGGCUCAGUUCCUAUCCGGGAGAGCCUGGUCGCUUCCCACUACCUCCUGGUCAAGGGCUGACCAGCUUAACUCAGCACCUGGCAGGGAAAGCCUGCCCCAGACCACAGACUUCCCUGAUGGGCAGACCUGGGACUUGCUCAAAGCCACUUAGAACCUUGGAAUCUGACAGGGUAUAAAGGUUACACAAAGGGAGCAUUCUUUGCUUUCCAGGGAUUAUUAGGUUUGCCACAAAUUCACUAAAGAUCCCUUUGGAGAGGCAGCUCUCUCCUCUUGCCUUUC